ensembl:lncRNA
AGGCUAUGUCGUCGUGUUAUAACGACACCCAGGCUAUGUCCUCGUGUUAUAACGACACCCAGGCUAUGUCCUCGUGUUAUAACGACACCCAGGCUAUGUCGUCGUGUUAUAACGACACCCAGGCUAUGUCGUCGUGUUAUAACGACACCCAGGCUAUGUCCUCGUGUUAUAACGACACCCAGGCUAUGUCCUCGUGUUAUAACGACACCCAGGCUAUGUCCUCGUGUUAUAACGACACCCAGGCUAUGUCGUCGUGUUAUAACGACACCCAGGCUAUGUCCUCGUGUUAUAACGACACCCAGGCUAUGUCCUCGUGUUAUAACGACACCCAGGCUACGUCCUCGUGUUAUAACGACACCCAGGCUAUGUCGUCG